GUCGAGCGGUAGAGAGAAGCUUGCUUCUCUUGAGAGCGGCGGACGGGUGAGUAAUGCCUAGGAAUCUGCCUGGUAGUGGGGGAUAACGUUCGGAAACGGACGCUAAUACCGCAUACGUCCUACGGGAGAAAGCAGGGGACCUUCGGGCCUUGCGCUAUCAGAUGAGCCUAGGUCGGAUUAGCUAGUUGGUGAGGUAAUGGCUCACCAAGGCGACGAUCCGUAACUGGUCUGAGAGGAUGAUCAGUCACACUGGAACUGAGACACGGUCCAGACUCCUACGGGAGGCAGCAGUGGGGAAUAUUGGACAAUGGGCGAAAGCCUGAUCCAGCCAUGCCGCGUGUGUGAAGAAGGUCUUCGGAUUGUAAAGCACUUUAAGUUGGGAGGAAGGGUUGUAGAUUAAUACUCUGCAAUUUUGACGUUACCGACAGAAUAAGCACCGGCUAACUCUGUGCCAGCAGCCGCGGUAAUACAGAGGGUGCAAGCGUUAAUCGGAAUUACUGGGCGUAAAGCGCGCGUAGGUGGUUUGUUAAGUUGGAUGUGAAAUCCCCGGGCUCAACCUGGGAACUGCAUUCAAAACUGACUGACUAGAGUAUGGUAGAGGGUGGUGGAAUUUCCUGUGUAGCGG
rnacentral:rRNA from 1 species